CAGCCGCCACGGUAAUACGGAGGGGGCUAGCGCUGUUCGGAAUUACUGGGCGUAAAGCGCACGUAGGCGGCUUGGUAAGUCAGAGGUGAAAGCCCAGGGCUCAACCCUGGAAUUGCCUUUAAGACUGCCGAGCUAGUAGGUGAGAGAGGUAAGUGGAAUUCCGAGUGUAGAGGUGAAAUUCGCAGAUAUUCGGAAGAACACCAGUGGCGAAGGCGGCUUACUGGCUCAUUCUAGACGCUGAGGUGCGAAAGCGUGGGGAGCAAACAGGAUUAGAUACCCCCGUAGUCCCUGUCUCUUAUAC
rnacentral:rRNA from 1 species